AAAGCAUUUCAGUAGUGACUAAUGUACAGAAACAACAGUUUCUGCAGCUCUCACUCCAUUCCAAAUCCAAAUCAUAUUUAAAUUCGGGGAUCCAGUCUCAUUUUUCACAUCUGGGUUUUCUUUCGUUUCUUUCGACUAUUACACUACUAUUUCCUGCGUGUUUCCUUUCCACACUGUGCGUUUCUCUCCUCCCCUACAUGCUGCAUUGUGGCUUUAAUAGUAAAAAAGGUCUAUUUUCAUCUACUCCCCCGGGAUGGUGAUCCUCGGCUCGAACUCGAACGAGAAAAAAGAGGAGGCGGAGACGGGCACAGAAGACAUCGGCGAAGACACCUGUCUCAUGAGCGUGCCUCAGCAGGAAUCCAGCUCCGAAGAAGACUUCGUCAGAAUGGCUACACAGGAAGAGUUUGGCAAGGAGCUGAGCAUUCCAGUUCCGGCCACGAGCAAAUGAAAUGUCCGGGCCUGAACACAGACGUCGGCUCAAGCAAAGGAAUAUAUGAACCAGGAUGGGGCCUUACAAGUCACGGAGCCUCUUUGCUGGCCCGUGAAGUGUAGAAAACUUGUCCUGUUUCAGCAGCGAGGCUGUGAAUAGGGCUGAGUUUGUUUGUAUAGCACUGUGACUUUCAGGGUUUUUUCUUUCUCAGUGUGGGAGGCUGUGCGAAGACAGUGACGGAAUAAGAAAAACUCCCAGGUUGCUAUAGUGAUAAGAUGUACUGUAAAUAUUAAUAUAUUAGAAUAUUAUGAUAUAACAAUAUAAUUAGAAAUAUCAGUCUAUUUUAUUUUAUUUUUACAGUCAUUAGACACCUUUGUGUUUGAGUACAGCUUUACCUGUGAGUUGGACAGACAGACACAGAGACAGGUGGGCCAACAGGCCGUGUUUUACUGAUGAAGUGUGGGUGCACAAGCACGCAGAGCUAAAAAUACCUCAAUGUGGGAUAAAAAGACUGCUGAAUGUCAGCGGCAUUCACUUUAACCUGCAUGUUUCAGUCACGUAUUACUGUGCAUGUCCCGGCAGGACCCAAUGAGCUGCUGUUCUGUAUUACUGUGCAGUUGUCUAUUUUUC
ensembl:lncRNA